rnacentral:siRNA from 1 species
ACCAAUGAAUGUCCCGUAUCCAGU